UCUCCUUGUUGCUUUCUCUGUCCAGGUAUUAUGCUGUGUCGCACAUAUUUCCAGAUGUUUUGCUCAAUGAUAUUGCUGGCCCUGAUGGAGAUCCUUUGCUUUUGAGUUUGAAACUUGCAGUGGAUGUCUUAGUUGUUUCCUGCCCUUGUGCUUUGGGUCUUGCCACACCAACAGCAAUCCUUGUUGGCAUCUCCCUCGCAGCAAGACAAGGACUGCUUAUAAGAGGUGCAGAUGUUCUAGAGCGCUUGGCCAAUGUAGACCAUGUAGCUUUUGACAAAACAGGGACUCUCACUGAAGGAAAACCCAGUGUCUCUUCGGUGGCUUCCUUUACUUAUGAUGAAUCAGAAAUUCUUCAAAUUGCUGCUGCAGUAGAGAGAAC